CUCUUAUCCAGAGAGGCAGAGGGACCGGCCCGAUGAAGCCUCGACAACCCUGGAAAGGGCUUUGAGCUACAGUGCAAAGCGUACCGCAGCAUGCACAGCUCGAAACUCGAUCAUUAGGGUGCCAAAUCCGGCAGCACAGACUGGAAGAUGAGAG
rnacentral:ncRNA from 1 species